GAUGAAGAACGUAGCGAAAUGCGAUAAGUAAUGUGGAUUGCAGAAUUCAGUGAAUCAUCGAAUCUUUGAACGCACAUUGCGCCCGCCAGUAUUCUGGCGGGCAUGCCUGUUCGAGCGUCAUUACAACCCUCAAGCCCCCCGGCUUGGUGUUGGGGACCGGCCACCGGUGCCCUGCUGCUUCCGCGGCAGGCGCGCCCGGCCGCCCCCGAAAUGAAUUGGCGGCCCCGUCGCGGCCUCCCUCUGCGUAGUAGCACACAUCUCGCAGCUGGAGCGCGGCGCGGCCACUGCCGUAAAACGCACCAACUUUUUUUUACAGUUGACCUCGAAUCAGGUAGGAAUACCCGCUGAACUUAAGCAUAUCAAUAAGCGGAGGA
rnacentral:misc_RNA from 1 species